UACGUAGGUGGCAAGCGUUGUCCGGAAUUACUGGGCGUAAAGAGCGCGCAGGCGGCUGGUCAAGUCCGAUGUGAAAGCUCCCGGCUUAACUGGGAAAUUGCAUCGGAAACUGAUCGGCUUGAAGGUGGGAGAGGGUAGUGGAAUUCCCCGGUGUAGUGGUGAAAUGCGUAGAUAUCGGGAGGAACACCAGUGGCGAAAGGCGCUAACC
rnacentral:rRNA from 1 species